GUGAACCUGCGGAAGGAUCAUUACUGUGAAUACAUUCUACACUGCGUGAGCGCACACAACACAUAAACGGGAGUACCAGGUGGUCAAAGAAAUCUAAUAGAAAACUUUCAACAACGGAUCUCUUGGUUCUCGCAUCGAUGAAGAGCGCAGCGAAAUGCGAUACCUAGUGUGAAUUGCAGCCAUCGUGAAUCAUCGAGUUCUUGAACGCACAUUGCGCCCGUCGGCAUUCCGGCGGGCAUGCCUGUCUGAGCGUCGUUUCCUUCUUGCGCAAGCAGAGAUGACCGAGCCCCGGCCCGGUUGAAACGGAACGUUGCGGGUGUGAGCGAACUAUGUUGGGACGCUCGUGCCGCCGAGACUUUUACAAGCUCGACCUCAGAUCAGGUAGGAAUACCCGCUGAACUUAAGCAUAUCAAUAA
rnacentral:misc_RNA from 1 species